AAGUCGAGCGAGAAAGUAUCUUCGGAUAUGAGUAGAGCGGCGGACGGGUGAGUAACGCGUAGGAAUCUACCUAGUAGAAGGGGAUAGCCCGGGGAAACUCGGAUUAAUACCGUAUACCUCCUCAGGGAGAAAGAGGGCCUCUCUUGAAGCUCUCGCUAUUAGAUGAGCCUGCGUAAGAUUAGCUUGUUGGUAAGGUAAUGGCUUACCAAGGCUACGAUCUUUAGCUGGUCUGAGAGGACGAUCAGCCACAUUGGGACUGAGACACGGCCCAGACUCCUACGGGAGGCAGCAGUGGGGAAUAUUGGACAAUGGGCGCAAGCCUGAUCCAGCCAUACCGCGUGUGUGAAGAAGGCCUUCGGGUUGUAAAGCACUUUAAGCAGGGAGAAAAAGCAAUAAGUUAAUACCUUAUUGCCGUGAUGUUACCUGCAGAAUAAGCACCGGCUAAUUCCGUGCCAGCAGCCGCGGUAAUACGGAAGGUGCAAGCGUUAAUCGGAAUUACUGGGCGUAAAGCGCGCGUAGGUGGUUUGUUAAGUUGGAUGUGAAAGCCCUGGGCUCAACCUAGGAACUGCAUCCAAAAC
rnacentral:rRNA from 1 species